ACUGCUGUCGGAUCUCGCCCUUGUUUCCGGUGAGAGGGUUGUUCUCGGAGAGAAUGGUGAAGGCUCUCGAAAACUCCUUGAAGAAGUAGUCUUGGCUCUUGGCCAUUUUCUUGACGUAGGGUUUUGUCCUCUUGUCUGUGGCUAGCUGGUGAUCCACCAUCAUCAAACCCUUGUUGUCCAAGAUGUUUCUGUAGUAGUUAUUAUCGAAGAUCAUGGGGGUACCGCGGUCAUUUCUCACGUACUGAACGGCUUUCGGGUCGGGGAUUGCAUCAGGGCACUUCUUGAGCAUGUGAGGGACAUGGUCAGGGUUGAGCUGAGGAUCAACUUCUGGGUACAACCGGUGCACCAGCUUCACACAAUGUGUUCUUCCAACACUGUGAGCUCCUGCAAUUGGUUCCAACAUAUACGACAAAAUUAGUGUUUCUGAUAGCGUUUGAUAUAAAAAAAUUCCUGGAGAAGCAAAAUUGUAUAUGAAAGAGUUAAAGAGUGUUUUAGGGCAACAAAAUCACUUACGACUUAUGAUUCUUUGAAAAGUUCUUUUAUCACAUAGAAGCACUUCUAGCAGAAGCGUUUUCCAAAAAAGCAAAUCUCAAACAAGGCUUAGAAGUGUUUCCUUAAGAACGCUUGUUCUCGAAAUAGCACUUAUAUUUUUAUUUUAACCUUUAAACGUGCUUCUAGUAAAAGCAGCU
rnacentral:lncRNA from 1 species